UUCUUCUCCACCGAAAAUUCAGCCAUUGUUGGGGUUUGAAAGCUUGAAAAUUUCAGCAACUUGUAACCCUCUCAAUGCCACCUAAUUAGCUCGUGGAUCAAUGGACGUCGGAGGCAUCGAUCACACUAUCAAUCAAAGCACUUAGUAUAGUUAGAUCUUUUAUUUUGAUCAUGGCAUGUAUAGGACUUUGACUUUUGAGUUUUGUGUCAUUUUUAAUUGGCCAAUAUGUUAGCUUACUUUAGCAUUUGAUUCAGUUUGUAUAAGUCCAUGUGUGACAGCCCUAAUUUGACCCCAGUCGGGAAGUGGUUUCGGGACCACUAAACUGAGUUGUGAAAAUAAUUGAAUGAUAAAUUUUGUGCUUAAUUUGUGUGAAAA